rnacentral:tRNA from 1 species
GCACGUGUAGCUCAGUUGGUAGAGCGCACCCCUGAUAAGGGUGAGGUCGGCAGUUCGGAUCUGUCCAUGUGCA